UACGUAGGGUCCGAGCGUUGUCCGGAAUUAUUGGGCGUAAAGGGCUCGUAGGCGGUUCGUCACGUCGGGAGUGAAAACUCGGAGCUUAACUCCGAGCCUGCUUCCGAUACGGGCAGACUAGAGGUAGGCAGGGGAGAGCGGAACUCCUGGUGUAGCGGUGGAAUGCGCAGAUAUCAGGAAGAACACCGGUGGCGAAGGCGGCACUCUGGGCCGGAACUGACGCUGAGGAGCGAAAGCGUGGGGAGCGAACAGG
rnacentral:rRNA from 1 species